AGGGAUCAUUACCGAGUUCAUGCCCUUACGGGUAGACCUCCCACCCUAUGUUAUAUUACCUUCGUUGCUUUGGCAGGCCGUCAGGCUUCGGUCAGGCUACCGGCUCAAGCUGGUAAGCGCCUGCCAGAGGACCCCUAAACUCUGAAUAUUAGUGUCGUCUGAGUACUAUAAAAUAGUUAAAACUUUCAACAACGGAUCUCUUGGUUCUGGCAUCGAUGAAGAACGCAGCGAAAUGCGAUAAGUAAUGUGAAUUGCAGAAUUCAGUGAAUCAUCGAAUCUUUGAACGCACAUUGCGCCCCUUGGUAUUCCGAGGGGCAUGCCUGUUCGAGCGUCAUUACAACCCUCAAGCACUGCUUGGUAUUGGGCCCCGCUGGUUUCAGCGGGCCUUAAAAUCAGUGGCAGCGCCAUCUGGGCUCUGAGCGUAGUAAAUAUCCUCGCUAUAGAGACCAGGUGGGUCUUGCCAUCAACCCCCAAUUCUCUAAGUUUGACCUCGGAUCAGGUAGGGAUACCCGCUGAACUUAA
rnacentral:rRNA from 1 species